GACGAACGCUGGCGGCGUGCUUAACACAUGCAAGUCGAACGAAGAGCGAUGGAAGCUUGCUUCUAUCAAUCUAGUGGCGAACGGGUGAGUAACGCGUAAUCAACCUGCCCUUCAGAGGGGGACAACAGUUGGAAACGACUGCUAAUACCGCAUACGAUCUAAUCUCGGCAUCGAGGAUAGAUGAAAGGUGGCCUCUACAUGUAAGCUAUCACUGAAGGAGGGGAUUGCGUCUGAUUAGCUAGUUGGAGGGGUAACGGCCCACCAAGGCGAUGAUCAGUAGCCGGUCUGAGAGGAUGAACGGCCACAUUGGGACUGAGACACGGCCCAGACUCCUACGGGAGGCAGCAGUGGGGAAUCUUCCGCAAUGGACGAAAGUCUGACGGAGCAACGCCGCGUGAGUGAUGACGGCCUUCGGGUUGUAAAGCUCUGUUAAUCGGGACGAAAGGCCUUCUUGCGAAUAGUGAGAAGGAUUGACGGUACCGGAAUAGAAAGCCACGGCUAACUACGUG
rnacentral:rRNA from 1 species